GAGUGGCUCAGUUGGUAGAGCAGCUGAUUCGUAAUCAGCAGGCCGUGGGUUCGAGUCCCAUCUCU
rnacentral:tRNA from 1 species